CACAUCUUACUUGUAAGGGCUUUGGGUGGAGGGUAGCAGACGGGUUGCUGAUUUGGAAAAAUAUAAUAGUUGUGGACCUUAUCAGUGUUAUAUGCAGGGGUUGACAUAGGUGGUAAACAAGUACGCAUGAUCGGCAUAAUGAUUAAAAUGUUCUGACAAUUUUAUGUCAUAAUCAAAAGUAGCAGGUAUAGAUAAUGUGUAAUAACAUUCUUCUUUCACAGGAUCUCCCCUUUUUACACAGUAUGCAAAAACACAAGGGGCAGAAGGUAGUGUUAACAGAACAGUAAUCUUCUGAUCCUGUUGGGCAAGACACCAAAGGGAGAAGUCACUUGUGGAAUCAAUGGGCUGUUGCUGUCCUACAUUUUUUCAAUUCAUUAUACAAAUGGCCACAUGUUCAGUAAUGUUAACAAUGUUUAUUGCUUACACGUAAUGGC